GACGAACGCUGGCGGCGUGCCUAAUACAUGCAAGUCGAACGAGAGCGACCGGUGCUUGCACUGGUCAAUCUAGUGGCGAACGGGUGAGUAACACGUGGGUAACCUGCCCAUCAGAGGGGGAUAACAUCCGGAAACGGAUGCUAAAACCGCAUAGGUCUUCGAACCGCAUGGUUUGAAGAGGAAAAGAGGCGCAAGCUUCUGCUGAUGGAUGGACCCGCGGUGCAUUAGCUAGUUGGUGAGGUAACGGCUCACCAAGGCCGUGAUGCAUAGCCGACCUGAGAGGGUGAUCGGCCACAUUGGGACUGAGACACGGCCCAAACUCCUACGGGAGGCAGCAGUAGGGAAUCUUCCGCAAUGGACGCAAGUCUGACGGAGCAACGCCGCGUGAGUGAAGAAGGUGUUCGGAUCGUAAAACUCUGUUGUUAGAGAAGAACAAGUGCUAGAGUAACUGUUAGCGCCUUGACGGUAUCUAACCAGAAAGCCACGGCUAACUACGUG
rnacentral:rRNA from 1 species